AUUGAACGCUGGCGGCAUGCUUUACACAUGCAAGUCGAACGGCAGCGCGGGCUUCGGCCUGGCGGCGAGUGGCGAACGGGUUAGUAAUACAUCGGAACGUGCCCAGUAGUGGGGGAUAGCUCGGCGAAAGCCGGAUUAAUACCGCAUACGACCUGAGGGUGGAAGCGGGGGAUCUUCGGACCUCGCGCUAUUGGAGCGGCCGAUGGCAGAUUAGCUAGUUGGUGGGGUAAAGGCCUACCAAGGCGACGAUCUGUAGCUGGUCUGAGAGGACGACCAGCCACACUGGGACUGAGACACGGCCCAGACUCCUACGGGAGGCAGCAGUGGGGAAUUUUGGACAAUGGGCGAAAGCCUGAUCCAGCAAUGCCGCGUGUGUGAUGAAGGCCUUCGGGUUGUAAAGCACUUUUGGCGGGAACGAAAAGGACUGUGCCAAUACCACGGUUCGAUGACGGUACCCGCAGAAUAAGCACCGGCUAACUACGUG
rnacentral:rRNA from 1 species